UUUCUAGUUCAAAUACAUCUCAAGAACUGCAUAAAAAGACAAGAAACUAGCCCUCUAAAAAAAUGUGGGGAUUGUAAGAGUUCCGGAAAUGUGUUUUUCUUUUCUUUUUUUUUUUCUUUUCAGCCUUUGCGUGGGAAACAAGUUCACCAUGCUGUGCGUGCAUUUCUGAUUCACAGUUUCUACUGUAUGCCUUGUUAUUAUCGCCUGACCUGCCUGAUCCAUGCUGAUGCCCUACUUCUGGCUGGACUUAUCAUCACUUGGCACUUGGAAACCACUCACUGCUGCUGAGGAUGGCCCCACGUGGACAGCCUAAAGAUACAUGACAUGACUGUAGAUGGUACCACUUAGAAACCAUGGCUUUGGACUGCAAUUGAUAUGAAAAUUAUUG
ensembl:lncRNA